rnacentral:rRNA from 1 species
GACGUAGGGAGCGAGCGUUGUCCGGAUUUAUUGGGCGUAAAGAGCUCGUAGGCGGUUUGUCGCGUCGGCCGUGAAAUCUCCACGCUUAACGUGGAGCGUGCGGUCGAUACGGGCAGACUUGAGUUCGGUAGGGGAGACUGGAAUUCCUGGUGUAGCGGUGAAAUGCGCAGAUAUCAGGAGGAACACCGGUGGCGAAGGCGGGUCUCUGGGCCGAUACUGACGCUGAGGAGCGAAAGCGUGGGGAGCGAACAGG